CACUUUAGGGCUGUACCCAUGGCAUAUGGAAGUUCCCAGGCUAGGGGUUGAAUUGGAGCUGCAGCUGCCAGCCUACACCACAGCCACAGCAAUAUGGCAUGUGCGCCAUGUCUUUGACCAACACCGCAGCUUGUGGCAAUGCUGGCUCCUUAACCCACUGAAUGAGGCCAGAGAUUGAACCCACAUUCUCAUGGAUACUAGCCAGGUUCUUAACCCACUGAGCCUCAACAGGCGCUCCUCUCAGGUGAUUUUAAUGAGCAGCCAGAGAAGCAGUUCUAGCCUUGAAGGUAAAGGCUGCUAAUUUAUGAAGUAGAUAUUGGGUAAAUGUUUGUUGGUGUUAAUGUUAAUAAUUAACUAAUUUAGAAAAAAUUGAGUUCAUAUCGCCUGCCGGGCACUAUAUCACUCAGUGGGAUAAAAGACUUUGUCCUUAACAUUGAUAAAAACGAUUGGUAACAGUUGCUACAGUUACUAAAGACAUACUGUAUUCAAGCACUAAGCUAAUCACCUCAUGUACCUUAUUUCAUUAAGUCCUCACACAGUUCUUUGUCUUUUGCACAUCCUACCUGUGUGCGAAAUCCAGGCUCUGAAAGGUUUCAGUGACUUCUCUAAGAUCGCAUGGAAAGUUGUGGAGCUGGAGUUUUGAACUGAGAUCUGGCUGGCUUCCUCGUCUCCUUAAAACCACCCACUAUUCUAUCGUCCUCAUGGGUUCCAACUUUGAGCAGGGGAAGCAGAUAGAUAAUUAUAUGAGCAUGGGAUACAUUUUAUUCUAUAAGCCCUUGUAGGGUGUUAAUUAGGAGAAAACAGUACACGACUGAGUGGUACCUGUUAUGGUAGAAGCACAGAGGAAAGGUAGCUAACAAACCAGAGCCAGAGAGUGUGUGGUCUUGGAAGACUUUCCAGGACAGAAGGCAUGUGACGUGUGUUUUGUAAAAUUCUUAGGAGCUGGCUCUGCAGCACGGAGAGGAAGAAGAUACUUCAGGCGUCCCGACAAGGAAAUCAACACCCAUACAAUGCUGUUAACUAAACUGCAGACUUUAUUUGGCCUUCCCCAGUUUUUCCACUGAGGGGUGGUCUCUGUUCCAAGAUCCCGUUCAUGAGUGUACGUUCCACUCUGUCAGUAGUCGUUUCUGUCGUCAGUAGUCCCUAGUCUGUGGCCAUGCCUUGGUUUGUCCUUGUUUUUUAUGACCUUGACAUUUUUGGUGAGGAAUGGUCACGAAUCUCCUAGCAUGUCCCUCUAUUUGUGUUUGCCGGAUGUUUUUUUCAUGGUAGACUGAAGGUAUGGAUUUGGGCAGAAUAUCCUAAAGGUGAUGUGCCCUUUUCUUUUGCAUCGUAUUAGGGACACUUGCAGUUUGGUCACUUGGCUAAAGUAGUGUCAGCCAGCUUUCUUCAUAGUGUAAUUACUGUUUGUUUGUUUUUUUAAUUAUUGUUUUAUUUUUUUACUUUCUAUGGUCACCAAGUCCAGUCCCUGUCAAGGGGAGGGGAUUUAGCUCCACCUUCUGGAGAGAGGAGUAUUAAGUAAUUGUGAUCAUAUCUGAAAACUAGCCCAGCGUUUAAUACAUUUGAGGUAUUGUACUUUGAGGCAAUGCAAAAAUCCUGUUUCUCCAUAGCUUCAGCCACUGCUUUUAGUAUUUAUUCAGCCUGAGCAAUAAGACAGACUGUGCUGUUGUAAUAGUGAUUUUCUAUCCCCGUUGUUCUUUCUACAUUUAAUAAUUGCCGUUCCUUGGUUAAGAAGUGUAGGUUGUGCCACCUUUCAUCUUCAGGUUUUCCCUGUUCCAGCUCUAGAAUUAGCUGUUUCUCCAAAGGUGUCCUGCUUCCUUUCUGUUGAGAAUGAUAUUUAGACACCAAGACCUGGCACUGGGUGUGCUCAUUGCUACUGGAGUGUUGCUGCUUCUGUUACGCACUCUCAAUGCCCAAAGCUAGGGAGUAUAUAUCUAUUUACUAAUCCAUGUAUAUACAUAUCUGUGUUUCUCUGUCUUAAACAUGAGGUCACAUUGAUAUCUCUGGCUUUACAUUUAUUUCUGUAUCUAUCGCUAUAUUAAAAUAAACAUGAGUUCAUACUGGUAGCACAGAACCUACAUACAUAUCUAUAUUUAUUUUUAGAUCCAUUUACCUGUAUAUCUACAUAAUCCAGAAACACAGUGUGCAUUCUUUCCUCUCCCUUUCUUUUCUUCACCGCUUCAUUUUCUGACAGUGAAAAUCUUGGCUUCUCUUAUCUACUACUUUUUGCAAAUUUGUUCAGUCCUGGUUUAGAUGUAAAGUAGUUUCAGAAUGGCCAACUGUUACUCCUCCGAGUAACGGAUUUACCCGUCAUAGUACAGUGCUUAUGUUUUUCUUCUUCUUUGUCUUGUCAACGUAGAGUAUCAGCUAGAAUACUGGGCUCCUUUUCCCUGCCCAUUAUAGUGAAGUUAUGUCAUCCAUUUGUUAUAUAUGUAUUUUUUCUUCUGGUCUGCUGCAUUCCAUCCCAAGAUCCCCUGACACCGGUUGAUUUUUUUUUUUAAAUAUUGCAUAAGAAUUUAGUUCACUCUUUGUGGCGUACAGGUCUGUGGGUUUUGACAAAUACGUACAGUCAAGCAUCCACCAUCCCAGGGUCAUUAUGAACAGUUACAUCACCCUAAAAUUCUGUGUGGUUCCCCAUCCCCGGGCAACCACCGAUUCUCUCCCCGACUUUUGCUUUUUCCUGAAGGUAAAAUAAUAUAAAAUAUGCAGCCCUGGUAGUUCCUUAGUGAUCUGGUGGUUAGGACUUGGUACUUUGAUCACUACAGCCUGGGGUCUGGGAACUGGGAUCCCACAUCAAGCUGCUGCAUGCU
rnacentral:lncRNA from 1 species